UAUAUAUAUAUAUAUAUAUAUAUAAGUAUUAACACAUUUUCCAACAACUUAUGAAAUUGAUUCUAACAUUCACAUCUGGUUUCAAUGUGCAACAAAUAUCGGUGAAACAAACUUACUUAAUUGUUUGUUUUAGGAUUUGGAAAAUAAUCCAACCAAUAAAUUAGUGAUGUCAUAAUUUUAACAGCAUGGUGAGAAUAAUAACAUGAUAAAAUUCAGAACCAUUUAUUGGCCCGGUAUGUCAGACAUACGUAUGUUAGUGAUACCGGUGAUUCACACAUUAGUCAAAAAGACAAAUUUACACGGUGCGAGAAAUAUGGAUAUGAAAUAUGAAUAUACUCAAUUUAUUUAUAUAAAUGUACAAUUCAAUUGACAGAAGAAUAAUAUAAAAUUAAAAUAAAGUGCAUAGGUACACCACACACGUGUCCUGUGAGUAUGUGUGAAAGUGACGAGUGAAUUUGAAUACGAACGAUGAGGGCCGGUGCAGGGGGGCGACCGGUAGUCAGUCAGUGGGGGUCCGGCUCUGUCCAUGAGGUCUUGGUCCUGAUGGACCUCAGCCUCCUGCCAGAUGGAAGGGGCACAAACAGGUUCUGUCCGGGGUGAGAGGGGUCGGCCAACUUCUUUCUAGCUCGUUUAAAUUAAUACAAUUUGAAGAGAAAAAAUCUGAAAUGUCAAAGUCGGAUCAUAAUCUGUUGAAGAGGCCGAUCUGGGACCUGCCGCUCAAAUGUUGUGUUGUUUACUCUGUAGCUGCCGUGACGGCCGUAUAGUCUCCCCCCCCCCCACCCGUCCCCCACCCGUCGGCCGUAGCGUCUAAACCAUGGUCACGCCCUUGCCUGCAGGUGGAGGAGGUGGAGGUCGUAGGCACCUUUGCACCAGGGCCUUCUGUUCAAAGCCUCCAUGUGGGUGGUGGUGUGAUGGUGCUUCUCCUUCCUGAGACUCCCAUGGUUUCUACACUAUUAAACCUUGAUACACACUUUGAUGUUACUGACAACACGUUGUAUUGUUAACAAGUUGCCGAUUAUCUAAUAAAUGAUGAAAUGUUUUUGGUUGCUAAGUUUGUGAGAACUGUCCCUUAUAUCUUAAUGAUUGUAUUAUAUCGUCACCUUUCCUAUUUUUGGUGUUCGGUAAAGAAUUAUUAGUCUCUUCCCUUUCUCUUUCCAUUGUUGGCUGUGUGACUAAUUUACUGUAUUUGUUGGACUCAACAGAAUAAACAGAAUAAG
ensembl:lncRNA